rnacentral:rRNA from 1 species
GAUGAACGCUGGCGGCGUGCCUAAUACAUGCAAGUCGAGCGAACGGACGAGAAGCUUGCUUCUCUGAUGUUAGCGGCGNGACGGGUGAGUAACACGUGGAUAACCUACCUAUAAGACUGGGAUAACUUCGGGAAACCGUAGCUAAUACCGGAUAAUAUUUUGAACCGCAUGGUUCAAAAGUGAAAGACGGUCUUGCUGUCACUUAUAGAUGGAUCCGCGCUGCAUUAGCUAGUUGGUAAGGUAACGGCUUACCAAGGCAACGAUGCAUAGCCGACCUGAGAGGGUGAUCGGCCACACUGGAACUGAGACACGGUCCAGACUCCUACGGGAGGCAGCAGUAGGGAAUCUUCCGCAAUGGGCGAAAGCCUGACGGAGCAACGCCGCGUGAGUGAUGAAGGUCUUCGGAUCGUAAAACUCUGUCAUUAGGGAAGAACAUAUGUGUAAGUAACUGUGCACAUCUUGACGGUACCUAAUCAGAAAGCCACGGCUAACUACGUGCCAGCAGCCGCGGUAAUACGUAGGUGGCAAGCGUUAUCCGGAAUUAUUGGGCGUAAAGCGCGCGUAGGCGGUUUUUUAAGUCUGAUGUGAAAGCCCACGGCUCAACCGUGGAGGGUCAUUGGAAACUGGAAAACUUGAGUGCAGAAGAGGAAAGUGGAAUUCCAUGUGUAGCGGUGAAAUGCGCAGAGAUAUGGAGGAACACCAGUGGCGAAGGCGACUUUCUGGUCUGUAACUGACGCUGAUGUGCGAAAGCGUGGGGAUCAAACAGGAUUAGAUACCCUGGUAGUCCACGCCGUAAACGAUGAGUGCUAAGUGUUAGGGGGUUUCCGCCCCUUAGUGCUGCAGCUAACGCAUUAAGCACUCCGCCUGGGGAGUACGACCGCAAGGUUGAAACUCAAAGGAAUUGACGGGGACCCGCACAAGCGGUGGAGCAUGUGGUUUAAUUCGAAGCAACGCGAAGAACCUUACCAAAUCUUGACAUCCUUUGACAACUCUAGAGAUAGAGCCUUCCCCUUCGGGGGACAAAGUGACAGGUGGUGCAUGGUUGUCGUCAGCUCGUGUCGUGAGAUGUUGGGUUAAGUCCCGCAACGAGCGCAACCCUUAAGCUUAGUUGCCAUCAUUAAGUUGGGCACUCUAAGUUGACUGCCGGUGACAAACCGGAGGAAGGUGGGGAUGACGUCAAAUCAUCAUGCCCCUUAUGAUUUGGGCUACACACGUGCUACAAUGGACAAUACAAAGGGCAGCGAAACCGCGAGGUCAAGCAAAUCCCAUAAAGUUGUUCUCAGUUCGGAUUGUAGUCUGCAACUCGACUACAUGAAGCUGGAAUCGCUAGUAAUCGUAGAUCAGCAUGCUACGGUGAAUACGUUCCCGGGUCU